rnacentral:lncRNA from 1 species
AUGUGGAGGCUAUAUACAGGGGGUACCGGUACAGAGUUAAUGUGGAGGCUAUAUACAGGGGGUACCGGUACAGAGUUAAUGUGGAGGCUAUAUACAGGGGGUACCGGUACAGAGUUAAUGUGGAGGCUAUAUACAGGGGGUACCGGUACAGAGUUAAUGUGGAGGCUAUAUACAGGGGGUACCGGUACAGAGUUAAUGUGGAGGCUAUAUACAGGGGGUACCGGUACAGAGUUAAUGUGGAGGCUAUAUACAGGGGGUACCGGUACAGAGUUAAUGUGGAGGCUAUAUACAGGGGGUACCGGUACAGAGUUAAUGUGGAGGCUUUAUACAGGGGGUACCGGUACAGAGUUAAUGUGGAGGCUAUAUACAGGGGGUACCGGUACAGAGUUAAUGUGGAGGCUUUAUACAGGGGGUACCGGUACAGAGUUAAUGUGGAGGCUAUAUACAGGGGGUACCGGUACAGAGUUAAUGUGGAGGCUAUAUACAGGGGGUACCGGUACAGAGUUAAUGUGGAGGCUAUAUACAGGGGGUACCGGUACAGAGUUAAUGUGGAGGCUAUAUACAGGGGGUACCGGUACAGAGUCAAUGUGGAGGCUAUAUACAGGGGGUACCGGUACAGAGUUAAUGUGGAGGCUAUAUACAGGGGGUACCGGUACAGAGUUAAUGUGGAGGCUAUAUACAGGGGGUACCGGUACAGAGUUAAUGUGGAGGCUUUAUACAGGGGGUACCGGUACAGAGUUAAUGUGGAGGCUAUAUACAGGGGGUACCGGUACAGAGUUAAUGUGGAGGCUAUAUACAGGGGGUACCGGUACAGAGUUAAUGUGGAGGCUAUAUACAGGGGGUACCGGUACAGAGUUAAUGUGGAGGCUAUAUACAGGGGGUACCGGUACAGAGUUAAUGUGGAGGCUAUAUACAGGGGGUACCGGUACAGAGUUAAUGUGGAGGCUUUAUACAGGGGGUACCGGUACAGAGUUAAUGUGGAGGCUAUAUACAGGGGGUACCGGUACAGAGUUAAUGUGGAGGCUAUAUACAGGGGGUACCGGUACAGAGUUAAUGUGGAGGCUAUAUACAGGGGGUACCGGUACAGAGUUAAUGUGGAGGCUAUAUACAGGGGGUACCGGUACAGAGUUAAUGUGGAGGCUAUAUACAGGGGGUACCGGUACAGAGUUCAUGUGGAGGCUAUAUACAGGGGGUACCGGUACAGAGUUAAUGUGGAGGCUAUAUACAGGGGGUACCGGUACAGAGUUAAUGUGGAGGCUAUAUACAGGGGGUACCGGUACAGAGUUAAUGUGGAGGCUAUAUACAGGGGGUACCGGUACAGAGUUAAUGUGGAGGCUAUAUACAGGGGGUACCGGUACAGAGUUAAUGUGGAGGCUAUAUACAGGGGGUACCGGUACAGAGUCAAUGUGGAGGCUAUAUAAAGGGGGUACCGGUACAGAGUUAAUGUGGAGGCUAUAUACAGGGGUUAAUGUGCGGGGCACCGGUUAG